rnacentral:rRNA from 1 species
CCUACGGGUGGCAGCAGUGGGGAAUAUUGCACAAUGGGCGAAACCCUGAUGCAGCAACGCCGCGUGAGUGAAGAAGUACUUCGGUAUGUAAAGCUCUAUCAGUAGGGAAGAAGGAAGACGGUACUUGACUAAGAAGCACCGGCUAACUACGUGCCAGCAGCCGCGGUAAUACGUAGGGGGCAAGCGUUAUCCGGAUUUACUGGGUGUAAAGGGAGCGUAGACGGUUACGCAAGUCUGGUGUGAAAGGCGGGGGCCCAACGCGCGGACUGCUUUGGAAACUGGAUAACUGGAGUGCAGGAGAGGUAAGUGGAAUUCCUGGUGUAGCGGUGAAAUGCGUAGAUAUUAGGAGGAACACCAGUGGCGAAGGCGGCUUACUGGACUGUAACUGACGUUGAGGCUCGAAAGCGUGGGGAGCAAACAGGAUUAGAUACCCCUGUAGUC